CUGACCUUGAAAUGUGGAGGGAAACAGCGCAUCAGCUUAACUCGCAGAUGCAGUCCAAUAACUGUUGCCAUGCUAUAAUGUUGGAUGGUUGAAGUGAAGGUAAUCCUAAUCGUUCAAGUAGGGAAUUAGUGCGAGUGUUUUGAAAAAUACAAUAAUCAUUACUGGAAACUGUCAAUAAAUCUAUAUCAAGUAAAUAUAAAACAUGGAGUAAAAACAAUUCAAUGACAAAGAGAACUGCAAAGCAGCACAUAUCCAAAUUUUUUGGUCGCACAUAUUAGAAAACAAUGUUACUGAUCUUGUGAAGGCAUGCACGCUGCAUUUGGAUGCCCAAGUGAGCUGAAUUGUGAACAAUCAGUUUAAUCAAGAGGUUAUGACUGAUGGGAUUUGUUGUUUUUUUGAAUCUGUUGCACCUGAUAGUCAUCUUAUCCAAAUUCAAAAUAA